UUAUAGUCGUAACCAGGUAGCUGUAGGGGAACCUGCGGUUGGAUCACCUCCUUACCAUGAGUAGUUGCCCUGGUAUGAAGUGGGGAACCUGAUUGUGGAUCAAAAUAACGAGCAGAAGAUCCUUAAUAGGUGAAUAGCUCACACAGAUAGUGUGAUGAAAAUAAUGAGCAAAAGCGUCAACAAAGUAGUCCACUCAGUCCCAUUAAUUUAGAGGCGAGGGACACCGCCCUUUCACGGCGGUAACAGGGGUUCGAAUCUCAUAGGGGAGAGCAGCGCAUCCGCCCACUGGGGGUAAAGCGGGGGUUUUCAGUAAGUCACAUCCUUACAUCAUAUUCUAAAACUGAUUAACACUAGUCAGGGUUUAAGAUAUUGCUCUUUAACAAUCUGGAACAAGCUGAAAAUUGAAACAUGACAGCUGAACGUGCGUUGAUACCUUCGGGUGUCGAUGGCGAUGCAGUCUGUCAAUGAGUCUCUCAAAUAAUCGCAGCGCGAGAGUGACUUUGAUUUAUCAAAGACACCUUCGGGUGGAGUAGCGACCG
rnacentral:misc_RNA from 1 species